rnacentral:rRNA from 1 species
CAAGAGGAGCUUGGAGACAGGUGCUGCAUGGCUGUCGUCAGCUCGUGUCGUGAGAUGUUGGGUUAAGUCCCGCAACGAGCGCAACCCUUGUCUUUAGUUGCCAUCAUUUAGUUGGGCACUCUAAAGAGACUGCCGGUGUCAAACCGGAGGAAGGUGGGGAUGACGUCAAGUCCUCAUGGCCUUUAUGACCAGGGCUACACACGUACUACAAUGGCCGGUACAAAGGGCAGCCACUUAGCGAUAAGGAGCCAAUCCCGUAAAGCCGGUCUCAGUCCGGAUUGGAGUCUGCAACUCGACUCCAUGAAGUUGGAAUCGCUAGUAAUCGCAGAUCAGCACGCUGCGGUGAAUACGUUCCCGGGCCUU